ensembl:lncRNA
GUAGUGUAGUGUAGGGAUGUACGGCUGUAGUGUAGUGUAGGGAUACGGCUGUAGUGUAGAGUUACGGCUGUAGUGUAGUGUAGAGAUACGGCUGUAGUGUGGAGUUACGGCUGUAGUGUAGUGUAGAGAUACGGCUGUAGUGUGGAGUUACGGCUGUAGUGUAGUGUAGAGAUAUGGCUGUAGUGUGGAGUUACGGCUGUAGUGUAGUGUAGAGAUAUGGCUGUAGUGUGGAGUUACGGCUGUAGUGUAGAGUUAGGGCUGUAGUGUAGAGUUAGGGCUGUAGUGUAGAGUUGGGGCUGUAGUGUAGAGUUAGGGCUGUAGUGUAGAGUUAGGGCUGUAGUGUAGAGUUAGGGCUGUAGUGUAGAGUUAGG